GCUGGCGGCGUGCCUAACACAUGCAAGUCGAACGAGAAAGUGGAGCAAUCCAUGAGUAAAGUGGCGACCGGGUGAGUAACACGUGACUAACCUACCCUCGAGUGGGGAAUAACUCCGGGAAACCGGGGCUAAUACCGCAUAACAUCGCAAGAUCAAAGCAGCAAUGCGCUUGAGGAGGGGGUCGCGGCUGAUUAGCUAGUUGGCGGGGUAACGGCCCACCAAGGCGAAGAUCGGUAUCCGGCCUGAGAGGGCGCACGGACACACUGGAACUGAAACACGGUCCAGACUCCUACGGGAGGCAGCAGUGGGGAAUUUUGCGCAAUGGGGGAAACCCUGACGCAGCAACGCCGCGUGGAGGAUGAAGCCCUUUGGGGCGUAAACUCCUUUCGACUCGGACGAUAAUGACGGUACGAGUGGAAGAAGCACCGGCUAACUCUGUGCCAGCAGCCGCGGUAAUACAGAGGGUGCGAGCGUUGUUCGGAAUUAUUGGGCGUAAAGGGCGCGUAUGCGGUGCGGUAAGUCACCUGUGAAAUCUCCUGUCUUAACUGGGAGCCUGCAGGCGAAACUACCGUGCUGGA
rnacentral:rRNA from 1 species